CAAUAGCGUAUAUUAAAGUUGUUGCAGUUAAAAAGCUCGUAGUUGGAUUUGUGGCGUACGGUGUGUUCCGGGCACUUGUUGUCUGAGUAACCUGCUGUUGCCAUCCUUGGGUGGAACCUGUGUGGCAUUAGGUUGUCGUGCAGGGGAUGCCCAUCAUUUACUGUGAAAAAAUUAGAGUGUUCAAAGCAGGCUUAUGCCGUUGAAUAUAUUAGUAUGGAAUAAUGAGAUAGGACUUUUUUGCUAUUUUGUUGGUUUGCGCAAAGAGGUAAUGAUUAAUAGGGACAGUUGGGGGUAUUCGUAUUCCAUUGUCAGAGGUGAAAUUCUUGGAUUUUUGGAAGACGAACUACUGCGAAAGCAUUUACCAAGGAUGUUUUCAUUAA
rnacentral:rRNA from 1 species